rnacentral:rRNA from 1 species
GACGAACCGAGCGAACGUUAUUCGGAAUCACUGGGCUUAAAGGGUGCGUAGGCGGGCACGCGAGUCAGGGGUGAAAUCCCACGGCCCAACCGUGGAAGUGCCUCUGAUACCGCGAGUCUCGAGGGGGAUAGGGGCGUGCGGAACUUCCGGUGGAGCGGUGAAAUGCGUAGAUAUCGGAAGGAACACCGGUGGCGAAGGCGGCCACCUGGGCCGACCCUG